CCUACGGGAGGCAGCAGUGAGGAAUAUUGGUCAAUGGCCGGAAGGCUGAACCAGCCAAGUAGCGUGAAGGAUGACUGCCCUAUGGGUUGUAAACUUCUUUUAUAAAGGAAUAAAACGAGGCACGUGUGCCUUUUUGCAUGUACUUUAUGAAUAAGGAUCGGCUAACUCCGUGCCAUCAGCCGCGGUAAUACGGAGGAUCCGAGCGUUAUCCGGAUUUAUUGGGUUUAAAGGGCUCGUAGAUGGGUUGUUAAGUCAGUUGUGAAAGUUUGCGGCUCAACCGUAAAAGUGCAAUUGAUACUGGCAGUCUUGAGUACAGUUGAGGUAGGCGGAAUUCGUGGUGUAGCGGUGAAAUGCUUAGAUAUCACGAAGAACCCCGAUUGCGAAGGCAGCUUACUAAACUGUGACUGACAUUGAUGCUCGAAAGUGUGGGUAUCAAACAGGAUUAGAUACCCUUGUAGUC
rnacentral:rRNA from 1 species